rnacentral:rRNA from 1 species
GUAGGUGGCAAGCGUUGUCCGGAAUUAUUGGGCGUAAAGCGCGCGCAGGCGGUUCUUUAAGUCUGAUGUGAAAGCCCACGGCUCAACCGUGGAGGGUCAUUGGAAACUGGAGAACUUGAGUACAGAAGAGGAAAGCGGAAUUCCACGUGUAGCGGUGAAAUGCGUAGAGAUGUGGAGGAACACCAGUGGCGAAGGCGGCUUUCUGGUCUGUAACUGACGCUGAGGCGCGAAAGCGUGGGGAGCAAACAGGGAUUAGAUACCCUGGUAGUCCACGCCGUAAACGAUGAGUGCUAAGUGUUAGGGGGUUUCCGCCCCCUUAGUGCUGCAGCUAACGCAUUAAGCACUCCGCCUGGGGAGCACGGCCGCAAGGCUG